rnacentral:rRNA from 1 species
CGGGGGGAGCAAGCGUUGUUCGGAUUUACUGGGCGUAAAGGGCGCGUAGGCGGCCUCUGCAAGUCGACUGUGAAAUCUCCGGGCUUAACCCGGAAAGGUCAGCCGAUACUGCAGGGCUAGAGUGCAGAAGGGGCAACUGGAAUUCUCGGUGUAGCGGUGAAAUGCGUAGAUAUCGAGAGGAACACCUGCGGCGAAGGCGGGUUGCUGGGCUGACACUGACGCUGAAGUGCGAAAGCUAGGGGAGCGAACGGGAUUAGAUACCCCGGUAGUCCUAGCCUUAAACGAUGAAUGCUUGGUGUCUGGGGUUUUAUAGUCCCCGGGUGCCGUCGCUAACGCUUUAAGCAUUCCGCCUGGGAGUACGGUCGCAAGACUG